rnacentral:rRNA from 1 species
GGGUCAGUGGGUUGGUCGUGCCACCGGUACGUACUGGUCUCACUGAUUCCUCCUUCCUGAAGAACCGUAAUGCCAUUAAUUUGAUGUUGCGGGGAAACAGGACUGUUACUUUGAAAAAAUUAGAGUGUUUAAAGCAAGCUAACGCUUGAAUACAUUAGCAUGGAAUAAUGAAAUAGGACGAUCGAUCCUAUUUUGUUGGUUUCUAGGAUUGACGUA